rnacentral:tRNA from 1 species
UCCCUGGUGGUCUAGUGGUCAGGAUCCAGCGAUUUCACCGCUGUGGCCCGGCUUCGAUUCCUGGCAGGGAA